UGGGGAAUUUUGGACAAUGGGCGCAAGCCUGAUCCAGCCAUGCCGCGUGCGGGAAGAAGGCCUUCGGGUUGUAAACCGCCUUUGUCAGGGAAGAAAUCUUCUGAGUUAAUACCCCGGGAGGAUGACGGUACCUGAAGAAUAAGCACCGGCUAACUACGUGCCAGCAGCCGCGGUAAUACGUAGGGUGCAAGCGUUAAUCGGAAUUACUGGGCGUAAAGCGUGCGCAGGCGGUUUUGUAAGACAGAGGUGAAAUCCCCGGGCUCAACCUGGGAACUGCCUUUGUGACUGCAAGGCUUGAGUGCGGCAGAGGGGGAUGGAAUUCCGCGUGUAGCAGUGAAAUGCGUAGAUAUGCGGAGGAACACCGAUGGCGAAGGCAAUCCCCUGGGCCUGCACUGACGCUCAUGCACGAAAGCGUGGGGAGCAAACAGGAUUAGAUACCCUGGUAGUCCACGCCCUAAACGAUGUCAACUGGUUGUUGGGAAGGUUCCUUCUCAGUAACGUAGCUAACGCGUGAAGUUGACCGCCUGGGGAGUACGGCCGCAAGGUUGAAACUCAAAUGAAUUGACGGGGUCAUAGCU
rnacentral:rRNA from 1 species